rnacentral:rRNA from 1 species
CCUACGGGCGGCAGCAGUGGGGAAUAUUGGACAAUGGGGGCAACCCUGAUCCAGCCAUGCCGCGUGUGUGAAGAAGGCCCUCGGGUUGUAAAGCACUUUCAGUGAGGAAGAACGCCUGGUGGUUAAUACCCAUCAGGAAAGACAUCACUCACAGAAGAAGCACCGGCUAACUCCGUGCCAGCAGCCGCGGUAAUACGGAGGGUGCGAGCGUUAAUCGGAAUUAUUGGGCGUAAAGCGCGCGUAGGUGGCUUGAUAAGCCGGUUGUGAAAGCCCCGGGCUCAACCUGGGAACGGCAUCCGGAACUGUCAAGCUAGAGUGCAGGAGAGGAAGGUAGAAUUCCCGGUGUAGCGGUGAAAUGCGUAGAGAUCGGGAGGAAUACCAGUGGCGAAGGCGGCCUUCUGGACUGACACUGACACUGAGGUGCGAAAGCGUGGGUAGCAAACAGGAUUAGAUACCCUGGUAGUC